AUACGUAGGGUGCAAGCGUUAAUCGGAAUUACUGGGCGUAAAGCGUGCGCAGGCGGUUUUGUAAGACAGUGGUGAAAUCCCCGGGCUCAACCUGGGAACUGCCAUUGUGACUGCAAGGCUGGAGUGCGGCAGAGGGGGAUGGAAUUCCGCGUGUAGCAGUGAAAUGCGUAGAUAUGCGGAGGAACACCGAUGGCGAAGGCAAUCCCCGGGGCCUGCACUGACGCUCAUGCACGAAAGCGGGGGGAGCAAACAGGAUUAGAGACCCUGGUAGUCCACGCCCUAAACGAUGUCAACUGGUUGUUGGGGAUUUAUUUUCUCAGUAACGAAGCUAACGCGUGAAGUUGACCGCCUGGGGAGUACGGCCGCAAGGUUAAAACUCAAAGGAAUUGACGGGG
rnacentral:rRNA from 1 species